rnacentral:rRNA from 1 species
UACGUAGGGUGCGAGCGUUAAUCGGAAUUACUGGGCGUAAAGGGUGCGCAGGCGGUCUCGUAAGCUGGGUGUGAAAGCCCCGGGCUUAACCUGGGAAUGGCAUUCAGGACUGCGAGGCUUUGAGUGCGGCAGAGGGAGGUGGAAUUCCACGUGUAGCAGUGAAAUGCGUAGAGAUCCCGAGGAACUCCUGUGGCGAAGGCGACUUUC